GUUCAUCGGACACGUGGUCUCCGGGAAACGCGCCGGCGAGCGCUUCCCCCUCUUAUGUUCAAGGGUUUGUUUCGUUUGCAUGUAUCAGCCAAUCCGCACUUCCUACCCAGCAGCCGCCCUACGCGAAAACCGGUUCAGGGUGGCUGCCGAGGAUAAUAGCGUCUACAUUUUUUUUUAACUCUAAAUGUAAGCCAUAAGUAAAUGAUCAUCACCUAUUCAAUUUCCCCACAGAUGUUUAAAAGCCAACAAGGAAGCAGGGCACCCGGGAGUUAAAGUCUGCUGGAGUCUUUGAACGCAAACACAGAUAAUAUAUCACCAUAUGAACCUGAUGGCUCCUGGUACUUAGACCAAUAACCAAUAUGUCAUUUCUGUCUUAUUCCUAAGAAUCAGGUAAACCCAGAGCCUUCUCCCUGACCUUGGUUGCUAUGGAAACAUAACCACUCUCUGCUUGGUAACCAAUUCUUUUCUAAUUGCUGUUGUCUUGGCAACAGCGCACCCAAUGUAAUACAGAAAAAGGCCACAAUCUUAAGUUUCCUGUUGCAAUGCAUGCUCGCCUCCUCGGAACGGUCCCACAACACACACCAACAUCUGAUCAUUUAGACAUCGGUUGCCACCACAACAGUCACCAAAGCGUAAGCUUUUGGCAAGCAAGAUUUUAUUUUGAGGACAAAAAUGGCAGGGUUGACAAUAUCCUACCGAUAUAUUUAUAAUAUAUUAUUUACAGAUCUGCCAUGUAGAAUAAAUACAUUUCAUUUUUUUGUAUUCUGUUCAGAGCACCAAAUGUCUGGCUGGUCUCAAAAGGAACGUAUAAUGCCUGCUGCGACACAAAGUACCACAAAAGAAGCCCUCGUAAACCGUUAUACCAGGUCCAGUUAGAUUCUUCCAAGUGGUGUGCAGCGAUUCCCACCCCGAGGUGCUACUGGAGCAGUUGCAAAGGCCCACACAGAAGGAUGGUAGGGGAAAUGUAAGGAGGGUUCCUCACUUCCAGGGUUGUUGGUUUCAUAAUGCCCUGUUGUUAGAUCUUGAACCCUGUUCUACCUUCUAGUUUUGAAGUCCGUGCAACCUUAAAACAUCUGUAUUAGAACAGCAACAAUCAUCUGCUCCCUAAAGCCGUUGACUACCUUGGAAAUGUAGGAAUAGGUAUAUGUCUAAAACAUCGUCACAAUGACAGCUUUCACUGCAUUGUCAAUCUACUUCAAAACUAAUAUUUUUUUUGUAAUGUUCAUCGACUGAAUUUUAUACAAAUUCCCCUCAUAAACGCCUUCUCCAUCCGACCCUACUUGAAAAGAAAUAUCAUUCAUUCUCAGAUGGUAGAGCCUCAUUCGACUCAGAUGAUUAGAUCACAUCAAGGGGCAUUAAAAUGGUCACCUCACCAUGUGGUCACCGCACCAUGUGCGAGACUUUUGCUAACUGAACUGAAAGUUCACCCUCUCACAUCUGCGUGCAUGUAACCUUUGACCUCAUGCAUAACCGUAACCGCCGCCAUUUUGUGGUCAUGCCUGGAAAUGCGUCAUUUUACGAGUGGAAACGGAAAUACGUCAUUUUGGGGCGUGAUUUGUAGGGGGGCGUGCACUGUUUAAGCAUAAAUACGCCAUUUUGACGAUGACGUGCGGGGUUUUGAUGGAAAUUUGCCAUUUCAGGGUGUGUUUUAUGCGAUGGGCGAUCACUGUAGGAGGGGUUUCAUCAUAUAUAUAGAUGUGUUAUUCGCCUCCACCACCAACGCACUCAUUUUGGACUCAUCCACUGUUGCUGCUGUUGCUGCUGCUGUUGGUUCCGCUACUAUUGCCGUGCACUCGGAUUCUUUGCAAAAUGCAGGCUGCAUAUCGCAUGGAGCAGGCCCCAGAGACUGACAUAGGUAUGUCUACAGAAAAUAGACCAUGCUAUGCAGAUGUAGAUGCUCCCCCGCGCCGGAAAAAGCGUGAGGGAUGUCUUUCUAGAGAGCCUGCUGAAGAGCUAGAGCUGGAGGGUGUUUAUGGGUACAUGUAUAAUGUUAAAUACUAUGAUGGCACGGUCACGAUGAUUUCUAGAAUCAAGGGCAAGACAAGCUAGGAGGGGGUGUUGGUGAAACAGUUGAUGAUGAGGCUGUUGUGGGGGGUCGACAUGGGUGUAUGUCUGUAAAAGACGGGCAGCAGUUUCAAUCAAUUGUCUGCAUAGAUCUUGAACAACCAGGUUUUCUAGAAUCUCUAUACUCUGUUCAGUGGUAUAGUACAAUAGGGCCUAAAAUACAGCAUCUCACGGAAGAUCGGUACAACAGACGCCCUGACGAUUUCAUUUUUUUAAAUGUUUGUGAAGACAGAGAGUAUGUGGUAGCUCAAAGAGGCCGCCGAGGAUGGAGAGAGCAUCCGUACCCUCUUACCGUUGAAGAGUUUAAUAUAUGGUUCCCCCUCGUGUUCUUUGUUCAGUGGUGUGACUGGCCCGCUCUGCAAAAAGUGUUUAGUCAGAUUGACAAAGCUAUCCAGAGAGACAGCGUCAGCAAGGCUUACUGGGCUGUUAGAAAACGCCUUGUUUACGACAAUACACCGAGCGGUGUGCAACCUGGUAUAUCUACUACCAUGUGUAGACCGAAAAUAAUUCACCCCUCAACCAUCUAAAUGAAUGACAGACUCGGAAAUCUCAGGGUCCCAGGCGGGCUGGACUCCUCCCAAUUCUCCUUCACCUCCAUCUCUGAUGGUUCACACCCCACCUCAGACUCCGCCUCCCGUACCGAUGGCCACACAAGAAAAAGAAGAAAAGAAGUUCUGUGAACCUCACGAGGUGUUUAAGGAUACUGCACGGUUCCUAGAAUACCUUAGAAUCGGGGUGCUACAUCUGUUGAACAAGGUCUGGGUUAAAUACAAUAUAGAGAUCUGCUACGGCUGUCAAACAAAUAAUCCCAGUCAGAAAAACCAUCCGUGUUUAUACCCCUGUGACUGGUUCUACGAACUACACUUCGAUCCGCUGAUGAAAAGGCUCUGGAAUGAGAACUUCAUAUCCGCCAUCCUCCUGUUUAUGGAUAUGAAUGACCUUCAAGUCGAUGCAGACCGCAUCCAGGGGGGUGCGGAAGUACUUCUUGACGAGCUGAAAUCUGGAGGCAAUGUGGCUGAAAGUAUCCAAUAAAUGUAUGAUACACUGAUCGGGGAAGAUGAACUCAAAAUGAACAAACUGAAAAAGCUUGGCAUGUUGUACCAAACCCGUAUGAAGCAUGGGAGGUACCCGAUGAUGAUGAUGAUGAUGAUGCGACAGACAUUGAUGUGUAAAAACAAUCAAACAUGCUAAAAAAAAAAAUGAAAUCGAAAAUGAAGUGAAGUUCUUGAGUGUUUUUAUAACUGAAAAUGUAUUUUUGCUUUUGCAAUGGGGCAAAAUACUACUAUACUAUCAAUCUGCUUGUCACAUUUUGUACAAGAGAAAUAAAAUAUGUUGUAACGAA